rnacentral:rRNA from 1 species
GACAGAGGGGGCAAGCGUUGCUCGGAAUUACUGGGCGUAAAGGGCGCGUAGGCGGCGCAACAAGUCACUUGUGAAAUCUCCGGGCUUAACUCGGAAAGGUCAAGUGAUACUGUUGUGCUAGAGUGCGGAAGGGGCAACUGGAAUUCUCGGUGUAGCGGUGAAAUGCGUAGAUAUCGAGAGGAACACCUGCGGCGAAGGCGGGUUGCUGGGCCGACACUGACGCUGAUGCGCGAAAGCCAGGGGAGCGAACGGG